rnacentral:lncRNA from 1 species
AACAGUUCUAGUAUGGUGUAAUCCCACGCAGCACAGUAGUAAACGGCCAUGUCUUCUUUCUCUACGGACUUGAUGGUAAGGAUUGAAGUGAGAGUUUGAGAAUUCUUUCUUGCCUCCACUUUGUUGCUUGUCUUACCCAUGCUGCGUCGAGCUGCGGAUUUUGUUGAGACAAUAUAGAUCAGGUGCUCCAAAGCCUGAUUUGGUUUCUGCCGGUACCAGUGAAUGACAUCUGUUUCAAACCUUGUGCUCGAUAUCUUGCAAGGUAUGUCAAUACUUUUCUUGACUUCCGUGGAAAUGGAUAGCUGGAACUGCUCCACUUUUGAUAAUCCAAGUCCAACUGUAAGUAAAAGAGGAGAAUUUCCAAUGAACAUCUGACAGUAGAAGAGGGAAACAUUGAAGAAUGAUUUUGGUCACGCAGCUAGACUGAAAUGUUCGGACAGCAACUCAGGAGCCCAGGAGGAGAAGGCAAAUGCUUCCAGCAGUGACAUCCUGUCUUCGGGGCGGUGUACCCAAGGAGAAGGCAGGAAAGUGCGGACCUGGUGGCUAGACGACUCUGGUCAGGUUCUGGAGGGUGUGGCCUGAACUGGGGAGAGAAAGAAAAUGGUUUUUUGGGCCCUUCAGUGCCUCCUGCAGGCUCAGCACUGAGCCCCCCUCCUGCUCACCCUGCUUAUCUCAAAUCAGGCUAGCAAUCUCGAUGGUGUUCUCUGCACGAAUGUGAGGGGGCCAUGGGGGUUGCUUAAUUUCUGUGGAAAUGAGAAGGAUUUCUAAUUGCCUAGGAGUUGUUCGUGAACACUUUUCCUCAGCAUAAUAUUUUAAAUUGUUGCAUAUUUAAUAAACAUUAACUUUUAUAAUAGCAAAUA